rnacentral:tRNA from 15 species
GUGCGUAUAAGUUCAGUUAGUUCAAGCGUCAUGCUAAUGACAUGAAAGUUAUAGGUUCGAGACCUACUUUGGUCA